rnacentral:rRNA from 1 species
AUUGAACGCUGGCGGCAGGCCUAACACAUGCAAGUCGAGCGGAUGAAGGGAGCUUGCUCCUGGAUUCAGCGGCGGACGGGUGAGUAAUGCCUAGGAAGCUGCCUGGUAGUGGGGGAUAACGUCCGGAAACGGGCGCUAAUACCGCAUACGUCCUGAGGGAGAAAGGGGGGGAUCUUCGGACCUCACGCUAUCAGAUGAGCCUAGGUCGGAUUAGCUAGUUGGUUGGGUAAAGGCCUACCAAGGCGACGAUCCGUAACUGGUCUGAGAGGAUGAUCAGUCACACUGGAACUGAGACACGGUCCAGACUCCUACGGGAGGCAGCAGUGGGGAAUAUUGGACAAUGGGCGAAAGCCUGAUCCAGCCAUGCCGCGUGUGUGAAGAAGGUCUUCGGAUUGUAAAGCACUUUAAGUUGGGAGGAAGGGAAGUAUGUUAAUACCUUGCUGUUUUGACGUUACCAACAGAAUAAGCACCGGCUAACUUCGUG